UAGCCUGAGAAAUAGCUACCACUUCUACGGAGGGCAGCAGGCGCGCAAAUUGCCCAAUGUCAAAAAAAAACGAUGAGGCAGCGAAAAGAAAUAGAGCCGGCAGUGCCACUGGCAUUGCCGUUUUCAAUGGGGGAUAUUUAAACCCAUCCAAAAUCGAGUAUCAAUUGGAGGACAAGUCUGGUGCCAGCACCCGCGGUAAUUCCAGCUCCAAAAGCGUAUAUUAAUGCUGUUGCUGUUAAAGGGUUCGA
rnacentral:rRNA from 1 species